UAGGGAAUCUUCCGCAAUGGACGAAAGUCUGACGGAGCAACGCCGCGUGAGUGAAGAAGGAUUUCGGUUCGUAAAACUCUGUUGUUAGGGAAGAAAAAAUGUAUAGUAACUAUAUACAAAAGAGACGGUACCUAACCAGAAAGCCACGGCUAACUACGUGCCAGCAGCUGCGGUAAUACGUAGGUGGCAAGCGUUGUCCGGAAUUAUUGGGCGUAAAGCGCGCGCAGGUGGUUUAGAAAGUCUGAUGUGAAAGCCCACGGCUCAACCGUGGAGGGUCAUUGGAAACUAAUAAACUUGAGUGCAGGAGAGAAAAGUGGAAUUCCUAGUGUAGCGGUGAAAUGCGUAGAGAUUAGGAGGAACACCGGUGGCGAAAGCGGCUUUUUAGCCUGCAACUGACACUGAGGCGCGAAAGCGUGGGGAGCAAACAGG
rnacentral:rRNA from 1 species